rnacentral:siRNA from 1 species
UGUAGCUCCUUCGGUGUGACUA